rnacentral:rRNA from 1 species
UACAGAGGGGCGAGCGUUGUUCGGAAUUACUGGGCGUAAAGGGCUCGUAGGCGGCCAACUAAGUCAGACGUGAAAUCCCUCGGCUUAACCGGGGAACUGCGUCUGAUACUGGAUGGCUUGAGUUUGGGAGAGGGAUGCGGAAUUCCAGGUGUAGCGGUGAAAUGCGUAGAUAUCUGGAGGAACACCGGUGGCGAAGGCGGCAUCCUGGACCAACACUGACGCUGAGGAGCGAAAGCCAGGGGAGCAAAGCGGG